GUGUGAGGGCAGGAGCAUUCAGGAAGCCUCUGUGCCUUCCUUUCAGUUGUAGCCAAGAACUCUGUCCCUAGAGCCAUGUCCUCCUGACUUGGACCUGCCUGUCACUCUCUGUGUGCAGUUAACAUGUCUGAGCUGAGUCCUGGGACAUUUAUCUCUUACUAAAAAGCCCAAGUCACUCAUUGCACGGAAACCCAAAGAGAAUAUUAAUUAAUUUCCAGUUUACUUGGAGGCAAAAUGGAAAUAAGUGGUCUCUCUGACCGCCCAACCUGCCAGCUGCCCUGAAUGCCUUUUCUUGUUUGUUCAUGUUUUGGAUCCAAACCAGUUAAUUGCUCUGGAACACACCCACCAUAGGAAGGAGAUGCCUGCUGAGGAUCUGAAAGUGAAUACCUCCCAAAUUAACAAGUGAAUCCUAACACACCACCAGGGUGCCCUGGGGCCCCCUACCAGAGCACACCUGCAACGUAAACCUGGAAGACUUCCUUUAAACCCCGCCCCCUGACCCUCCAGAUGGGGAGAGUCACAGU